GACGAACGCUGGCGGCGUGCUUAACACAUGCAAGUCGAACGGAAAGGCCCUGCUUUUGUGGGGUGCUCGAGUGUCGAACGGGUGAGUAACACGGGAGUAUCCUGCACUUGACUUUGGGAUAACUUCAGGAAACUGGGGCUAAUAACGGAUAGGAGCUCCUGCUGCAUGGUGGGGGAUGGAAAGUUUCGGCGGUUGGGGAUGGACGGGCGGCGUAUCAGCGUGUUGGGGGGGUAGUGGCUUAGCAAGGCUUUGACGGGUAGCCGGGCUGAGAGGGUUACCGGACACGUUGGGUCUGGACUAAGGCCCAGACUAGUAUGGGACGCAGCGGUGGAGUGUAGUGCACAAUGGGCGGGAGGAUGAUGGAACGACGCCGCGUGCGGGAUGAGAGCCUUCGGGUUGUUAUCCGCUGCCGCAUGAGACGAAACGUGAGUGACGGUACUGUGUAAAGAAGCUCCGGCUAACUACGUG
rnacentral:rRNA from 1 species